AUGAUUUGCAACUUGUUUAAUAUUGUGUAUGUUGAUAGAUCAUCAGAGUCAUUCCAUGUUCAAACAUUUCAGGUGUAUUCAUUGCCAACUUUCUUGCUUGUUAAGAAAGGAAAAGUUAUUGAUAAAGUGGUAGGAGUAAGAAAGAAGGAGCUACAAAAGAUGAUUGAAAAACAUAUAAACUAA